AGCGAGGAAAGAAACACGGGAUGCUAGUAACGGCGAGUGAAGCGGCAACAGCUCAAAUUUGAAAUCUGGCUUCGGCCCGAGUUGUAAUUUGUAGAGGAUGCUUUUGGCGAGGUGCCUUCUGAGUUCCCUGGAACGGGACGCCACAGAGGGUGAGAGCCCCGUAUAGUCGGACACCUAGCCUCUGUAAAGCUCYUUCGACGAGUCGAGUAGUUUGGGAAUGCUGCUCAAAAUGGGAGGUAUAUCUCUUCUAAAGCUAAAUACUGGCCAGAGACCGAUAGCGCACAAGUAGAGUGAUCGAAAGAUGAAAAGCACUUUGAAAAGAGGGUUAAAUAGCACGUGAAAUUGUUGAAAGGGAAGCGCUUGUGACCAGACUUGUGCCGGGCUGAUCAUCCAGUGUUCUCACUGGUGCACUCGACCCGGCUCAGGCCAGCGUCGGUUCUCGCAGGGGGACAAAAGCUCCGGGAACGUGGCUCCUCCGGGAGUGUUAUAGCCCGCUGCUCAAUACCCUUGCGGGGACCGAGGUUCGCGCUCUGCAAGGACGCUGGCAUAAUGGUCAUCAGCGACCCGUCUUGAAACACGGACCAAGGAGUCGAGGUUUUGCGCGAGUGUUUGGGUGUAAAACCCGCACGCGUAAUGAAAGUGAACGUAGGUGAGAGCUCCGGCGCAUCAUCGACCGAUCCUGAUGUAUUCGGAUGGAUUUGAGUAAGAGCGUAUAGCCUCGGACCCGAAAGAUGGUGAACUAUGCCUGUAUAGGGUGAAGCCAGAGGAAACUCUGGUGGAGGCUCGCAGCGGUUCUGACGUGCAAAUCGAUCGUCAAAUAUGGGCAUGGGGGCGAAAGACUAAUCGAACCAUUAACUACUACUAGGUGGUUAAGAGGGGCGCCGCAAGGCGCGGCCCUAGUCCCCCUCGCGGGGGGGGCGACACUACCAAACUGCGGGGACCUCCUAAAGCUACCACGACCAAGCGGCCGCCGAAAGGCGCGCCGUGGCCAGGUUAACCGSCUGGGUACGGUAAUACUGUGGCAGAUACUACAAUGGACGAUCCGCAGCCAGCCCCUAGAGCGCUCCGGCGUACSGGGAGGGUUCACAGACUAGACGGUAGUGGGUCUGGCAGGCGCCGGGCUUAAGAUAUAGUCGGGGCCGGGCGGAAACCGCCCG
rnacentral:rRNA from 1 species